rnacentral:rRNA from 1 species
UACGUAGGGGGCAAGCGUUGUCCGGAAUCAUUGGGCGUAAAGAGCGUGUAGGCGGCUUGGUAAGUCCGCUGUGAAAGUCCAGGGCUCAACCCUGGAAUGCCGGUGGAAACUGUCAGGCUCGAGUCCGGAAGAGGCGAGUGGAAUUCCUGGUGUAGCGGUGAAAUGCGCAGAUAUCAGGAAGAACACCCGUGGCGAAGGCGGUUCUCUGGGACGGUACUGACGCUGAGACGCAAAAGCGUGGGGAGCGAACAGG